rnacentral:misc_RNA from 1 species
UGGAUCACUCUAUUGCAUUUUUUACGGACCGUUUUCGGUCCGGCCGAUCCCCGCGGCACCAGUCUUGCACAGAAGCUCUUCUGGAUCGGCAACUUCCUUACCUACGCGCCACCCAUGGGAGGUUUGGGUCUUGGAGGACGAAAGAUUGUGCUCAAGAAGUUUCAGCGGAGAUAGAGAAGGGAUGAAGGCGACUUACAACGAAGAACAGCGAGAAAUAACGACACGAACUGUGUGGGGGCAGCUUCAUGGAUGGUGUGCGUCUUCUGUUAUUGACAUCUUAUCUGAGCACACCAGCCACCAUGCAUACCCCAGAUUAUAGACUAAUGACUUACGAUUUGAGAAGAUGGCAGAACGCCCAUGUUCGGAUAUGCUGUGGAUAUGACACAGGUAGAGUAUCGCAUGCGUUGAGAUUUAUGAGUGGAGGACUAAAGUGGAGUAUAACAGGUGGUGUCGUUUGCGCUGCGCUCUGUUGUUUUGUUUAUGGCGGGAAGUUCGAUGAUGACUUGUUGAUGCUAUGUUCUGCUGUGCUGUUUUGUACGAUACUUCACCCUUAUCUUGUGCUACAGUACUACUCAUACUCGCGAACUACUGUACAUACUAUCGU